AAGAAAACGAUGUGAGGCAUAUUAGGCUGUUAACUUAAAAGUGGGGUUCCCCUUUUCUUA
rnacentral:tRNA from 1 species